rnacentral:rRNA from 1 species
AGAAUCAACGCUGGCGGCGUGCCUAACACAUGCAAGUCGAACGAGAAAGUGGAGCAAUCCAUGAGUAAAGUGGCGACCGGGUGAGUAACACGUGACCAAUCUACCCUUGAGUGGGGGAUAACCUCGGGAAACCGGGGCUAAUACCGCAUAAUAUCCUUGGAACGGAAGUACUGGGGAUCAAAGGAGCAAUUCGCUUAAGGAGGAGGUCGCGGCUGAUUAGCUAGUUGGCGGGGUAAUGGCCCACCAAGGCAAAGAUCGGUAGCCGGCCUGAGAGGGCGCACGGCCACACUGGAACUGAAACACGGUCCAGACUCCUACGGGAGGCAGCAGUGGGGAAUUUUGCGCAAUGGGGGAAACCCUGACGCAGCAACGCCGCGUGGAGGAUGAAGUCCCUUGGGACGUAAACUCCUUUCGACCCGGACGAUAAUGACGGUACGGGUGGAAGAAGCCCCGGCUAACUUCGUGCUAGCAGCCGC